UGCCAUGAUCUUUGUUUUCUGAAUGUUGACAUUUAAGCCUAUUUUUUUACUCUCCUCUUUCACUUUCAUCAAGAGGCUCUUUAGUUCUUCUUCUCUUUUUGCCAAACAGGUGAUGUCAUCUACAUGUCUGAGAUUAUUGCUAUUUCUCCUGGCAAUCUUGAUUUCAGCUCGCUUCAUUCAGCCUGGCAUUUUGCAUGGUGUACUCUGCAUAUAAGUUAAAUAAUCUGGGUGACAAUAUACAGCCUUGAUA